rnacentral:lncRNA from 1 species
CUUUUCCUCCUUGGAUUUCCUCUGGGGAGAGUGUGACCUAAUUUAUAACAAAUACUUAGAGUUCCACAUUAAAAACAAACCAAAACCAAACUUUGGGCUGGGCUGUGGAGAUGGCCCAGUGGGUAAAGGGUGAAGACACUUGCUGCCAAGCGUGAGUUCAACCUGGAACUCACACGGUGGAAGGAGAGUACCAUGUCCCACAUGUUGUCCUCUGACCUCUGUAUGCAAUUUGCAUGUGUACCUCACUGUACACACACACAAUGAAUGGAUGUAAUAAAAGCCAAAUGAAGGGC